UACGAAGGGGACUAGCGUUGUUCGGAAUCACUGGGCUUAAAGCGUGUGUAGGCGGAUCGUUAAGUGUCUUGUGAAAUCCCACGGCUCACCCGUGGAACUGCUGGGCAUACUGGCGAUCUUGGGCCAACUAGGGGCAGCCGGAACAAGCGGUGGAGCGGUGAAAUGCGUAGAUAUCGCUUGGAACGCCGAAGGUGAAAACAGGCUGCUGGGGUUGUGCCGACGCUGAGACACGAAAGCCAGGGGAGCAAACGGG
rnacentral:rRNA from 1 species